CAACGCCUUGGUCUUGGACUUCCAGCCUCCAGAACUUGGACUCUACCUUCCUUCCCCUGAUUCUCAUGAGAAUCUGAUCUUCGCUAAAGUGGGCAAGGUCCUGGAUCAGAAGAUGCCUGACAAGAGGCCACUAUCAGCAGCAACAGCACAGUGGGGACAAACCUGAGACCUUGAUGGACCGUGGACACCAGCAGGAGAGACAGAGGAACUUGAAGUCUAAAUGGGCAGACAAGACCAACAUACACAAAGCAGAGAGUGGCACAAGAGCCAUGUCUGAUGCAACAGUGACUCAGGAGGAUCACUCUGACUCAGAAUGGCCAAGCAAAGAAUUGAAAUUGAGUAACGUUUAACAGAAGGUGUCUGAUUACAACAAUGCCCUGGCUGUGAAGAGAACAAAUUCAGAACUUUCUCCUAAGGAGAGAAGGAGCAAACUGUUACUCUCUUGUCAAAUCCAGUUUUCUUUUAAUCUCUGAUAAUGUUUCACAUUGAACCAAUGCCUUUAAUAUGACUUAGUGCUUUAGGAAAAUAGUAUCACCUCAGGAUAUUUAGGUAACUAAACCAGCAGAUCCAAUAAGUGUUAUCUUUCAGAGUCAGCCUUCUGAAGGAGGCUAGAUGCACAUGUGAAUGACUUUGCCAUAGCACAGAAUGCGUCUGGAUCAUACUUCUGGAAAUUCCUCUGGAACCACUGUGUAAAUGAAGCUAUCAGGAAAUCUCAUUGCUUUGUAAUCAUGCUUUACUUUUGACUAAAAAGUAAAA
rnacentral:lncRNA from 1 species